rfam:Dipodomys ordii contig_93066, whole genome shotgun sequence.
GGGAACGUGGCUCAGUGGUAGAGCACUUACCUUGCAUGCAUGAAGCCCUGGGUUCGAUUCCUCAGCACCA